CUUGAUGAGCCUCAUCUGUAAAAUGGGCUCAAGAAAGUCAUCUUCCCAGAGGCGGCGGAAACGGUCCACCUAGGGAACGGAGCAGGGCAUCUUUUCGCAGCCGAGCCCAGAACCCAUCACCUAAAGAGUUCUGGAUGAUUUGUUGGGAUUUUUUUUUUUUUAAAUCACCCUCGCCGUCGUCAUCAAAGAGCCUUGCCUAGGGCCUGGCACAGAGUAGGCGCUCAGUUAGAAGCUGUCUGGCCUUUUCACAUUCUCCCGGGUCGGCACACACAGAUUUGGGAGUAUUUAACUGCACAGAACGCACCUUCGGGAACUGCCAACCGGAAGCAAAAUCCAAAGCCACUCUCUGUGAUCCCUUCACUUUUAACUCUCAGUGUGCACUUUCUUUUUUUUUUUAACUGAGCAUCUAUUAUGUGCUAGGCACUGUCCCGGUGUUCGGGGACGCAGCUGUGAAUGAACAGAAACGGGGGCCGGGGGACAGCGGAGAAACCCUCUUCAUGGACCUUAGAUGGCGGGGGGUGGGGAAGGAGAGACAGAAAAUAAACAGAAAUAUCUGUCCCCAGCUGCCAGAGGAGGAGGAAACGGGCUUUGCGAUGGUGACAUUGACUUCUUUGAAAGCUGGGUUUGUUGGCCUCUGAACUCUGGCCUUUGUGGGAUCUGUUCUUUUGGAAACGAUGGGAGCCCUUGGGUUCCUAGAUCCCAGCCUGGCUGGGUGGACUAGGGUGGGGAGGUGGUGUCCACCUGGGUGGCCCCGUUGUCACUCCCUAACGCCCGUCCCUUCUCCCCCAGGUGAGGGGCCUUCCCAUCCCAGGAGGGUUUUCUACUUUCAACCGACCCAGGACUUUCCCAUAAAUUCCAACCGUUCUUUGGACACCAGCCCUUUCCUCCCCUCUUCUCCCCUUGCCCCGCCCCUCUACUGGAGGCCACCUGGAGUGGGGAGGGGCCUUUGGGGGUCUGUCCUGGGGCAGGGGGGAGGCUCCUGAAUCGGGCACAGAAGUGUUCACACGCCCCCUGCUUUGGGAAACGCCCUCGCUUCUUCCCCACAAAACUUGGUGACUUUCCCCAAACUAAAUCACACCUUUUCCUAUAUAUAUAUAUGCAUAUAUAUAUAGAUCUAUAGACAGUAUAUAUAUUUUUUGAGUACGGAUCAUGGGACCAAACUUUUCCGACUUCCUUCCAUCCGAGUAGAGUGACCCUGGGCCGGUCACUCAGCGGGGACACAGGAAGGGCUGAGGUUGGCAGGCCCCCGGGCAACACGUACCAGGUGCCCCACCGCCCUCCCCCACCACCUCCCGGCUGGCACAUCCCACCAGGAACCCGCCAACACAAUAUACCUCCAGGACUUUUGGCACCCCCCACCACCGAUUCUCCAGGGCCAUUGGGCUCUGCCAGCUUCAGUGUCCCUGGUCCCAGCUGCGGCCUCCAGACCCCACCUCGCCCCUUUGUCCCAGAGCCCUGCCCUCCCGGAUGGAUAUAGGUACAACAGAGACGCUCUGGCCUGCCUCAGCCCUUCUCUGCUCCCCUGCCCGAGUCAUAGCCUUACUCAUGCGACCAGUAGCCCUUAGCUUUCUGUCGGAGGCGGGGCGGACAGGGCUGGGGGGAGCCCCCCCCGCCCCUCACCACCCCCUCCCAAGGCCAGGCAGCCAUCGUCCCUGCCUUCGAAUCACCAGCCUCGAAUUUAAGGUCUUGUAACCAGGAUUGCCAAGCGUAGCGGAAGACCCUACCUGGACUGGCCAAGCACCCCUUUAACUGGAGAUGAACUUGAUAAUGACCUUCAUACCUCUACAGAGAUUUUUUUUUCUUUUUUUCCGGUCUUUCUGAGCAGGUACAAAGAAGAAAAGAGAAGAAAAAGAUGGGGGGAAAGAAUCAAACCACAGUGGAUUUUUGUUUCCUCGUUGGGAGUGGGGUGGGGUGGGGGGUUUUUGUGGGGUGCCUCUGUACAGCUACCCAAUCCGCAACACCCACGUCAAAGCACAGAAUCAAGUUCGUUCGGACAUCCAGCAAGGCCUCUUACCAAAUGAGGCGCCAGAUAUCUUAACAAGCUCAAAAGAAAAAAACAUUUAAAAAGAAAAAAAAAAAAAAA
rnacentral:lncRNA from 1 species